AAAUUGUGUUUAUUUAGUCUUGGCUGUGGUGUGGUUGCUGUGCACAGGCUCUCUCUAGUCGUGGUGUGGGGGCAUCUCUUCGUCGUGGUGUGGGGGCAUCUCUUCGUUGUGGUGUGGGGGCGUCUCUUCGUUGUGUGUGGGGGCGUCUCUUCGUUGUGUGGGGGCAUCUCUUCGUCGUGUGUGGGGGCGUCUCUUCGUCGUGUGUGGGGGCGUCUCUUCGUUGUGGUUUGGGGGCGUCUCUUCAUUGUGUGUGGGGGCAUCUCUUCAUUGUGUGUGGGGGCGUCUCUUCGUUGUGUGUGGGGGCGUCUCUUCAUUGUGGUUUGGGGGCGUCUCUUCAUUGUGUGUGGGGGCAUCUCUUCAUUGUGGUUUGGGGGCGUCUCUUCAUUGUGUGUGGGGGCAUCUCUUCAUUGUGGUUUGGGGGCGUCUUUUGUUGUGUGUGGGGGCGUCUCUUCAUUGUGGUGUGGGGGCGUCUCUUCAUUGUGUGUGGGGGCGUCUCUUCGUCGUGUGUGGGGGCGUCUCUUCGUUGUGGUGUGGGGGCAUCUCUUCAUUGUGUGUGGGGGCAUCUCUUCAUUGUGUGUGGGGGCGUCUCUUCAUUGUGUGUGGGGGCGUCUCUUCGUCGUGUGUGGGGGCGUCUCUUCGUCGUGUGUGGGGGCGUCUCUUCGUCGUGUGUGGGGGCGUCUCUUCGUCGUGUGUGGGGGCGUCUCUUCGUCGUGUGUGGGGGCGUCUCUUCGUUGUGGUGUGGGGGCGUCUCUUCAUUGUGUGUGGGGGCGUCUCUUCGUCGUGUGUGGGGGCGUCUCUUCGUCGUGUGUGGGGGCGUCUCUUCGUCGUGUGUGGGGGCGUCUCUUCGUCGUGUGUGGGGGCGUCCCUUCGUCGUGUGUGGGGGCGUCCCUUCGUCGUGUGUGGGGGCGUCUCUUCGUCGUGUGUGGGGGCGUCUCUUCGUUGUGUGUGGGGGCGUCUCUUCGUUGUGUGUGUGGGCGUCUCUUCAUUGUGUGUGGGGGCGUCUCUUCGUUGUGUGUGGGGGCAUCUCUUCAUUGUGGUUUGGGGGCGUCUCUUCGUUGUGUGUGGGGGCGUCUCUUCAUUGUGUGUGGGGGCGUCUCUUCGUUGUGGUGUGGGGGCGUCUCUUUGUUGUGGUGUGAGGGCGUCUCUUCGUUGUGUGUGGGGGCAUCUCUUCAUUGUGGUGUGGGGGUGUCUCUUCAUUGUGUGUGGGGGCGUCUCUUCGUUGUGUGUGGGGGCGUCUCUUCGUUGUGUGUGGGGGCGUCUCUUCGUUGUGGUGUGGGGGCGUCUCACUGCAGUGGCUUCUCUUGUUGUGGAGCACAGGCUGUUGACGGGGCUUCGCUGCCCAGUGGCACGUGGGAUUUUCCUGGAUCAGGGAUCGAGUUCGUUUGCCCUGCAUUGGCAGGCAUAUUUUUAACCAGCGGACCAUCAGGCAAGUCCUUCUUUGUAUUGAUAUUACUGGAAGGUUUAUAUUGCUGUGUUGGUUUCAGGUGUACAGUGAAGUGA
rnacentral:lncRNA from 1 species